GAGACCCGGGGGGGAUGGGCCCCAGGAGUCCACACCUUCAACCUCUUCCCUGGGGGAUCCUUUCCUUUCUCUUAUUUUCUUCUUAUUACUUUUGCACAGUCAGGCUUAGGAGUGUCUGCUCCUCGGAGGAAAGCAGGGAAGAGGAAGCCGGCUCAGUACCUGCCGUCUGGCCGCCCGAGGCGGGGGAGGUGGCGCAGGCUGGGGCAGCCCGGCCGAGCGAAGGCUCCUUCCGGGGCCGGGCCGGGAAGGGGGGCUGGGAGGUUUCUUGGAGGAGGUAGAGCUGCAUUCCUCUCAUGCCUUAAGCAUGAAUUUCUAAGGGUAGAAUUUCAAGGGUGGUAAAUGGAGAGGGCUGGAGGAGCUUUAUUUGUCUAUUUAUUUAUUUCCCCUAAUCCGCUUGCAGGGCUAAUCAGCUCCCCCCCGGGGCAGCCUCCGACGGGCUUCUCUCACUGCUCAGCCUGGGCUGGAGGGACCCGUGAGGGACGCACACCGUCUCGCAGGGAAGCUGAGCAGAGGAGAGGGAAGCUGUGGGGGUGGCUUUCAGUCCCGGGAGGGCUCCUGGAGUUCCUGCUCCAAGUCCGGGGAUCUGACCUGGCUGUCCCUAGGCCUGUGGAGACCCCAGGAAUGGGAAUGAAAGAGACUGGGGUCCAAAUGGCCCCCAGGCCUGACCAAUGCAUCCCUGGGGGCCAGAUACAAGGGGAGCUGCCACAGCUCAGGAGAGCGCAGGACCAUCCCUGGAACAGGCUCCAGCUUCUCCAUAGCAGCUCUGAGAGGAAUAUGUGGCCUCUUAGGCCGAUCAGCCUGAGCCAAGGCACCUUCCUUAGGUGUGGAGUGUCCUAGUCAACACAUGCUCGUGCAUUCAUUCAUUCAUUCAUUCAUUGAACACCUGCUAUGUGCCAGGCACUGGGCUGGGCUCUGCAGGUUAGCUGUGAACAAAGCAGCUGAGGCCCUGCUGUCGUGGAGUUUACAUACAGGAGGGGGAUGGACAACAAAACAUAACAAAUUAAUGUGUAACCUGGUUAUCAUCCUAUAACCCUGUUAGACGUCACAUGUAAUGGUGUCAGGCGAGAAUAUGAAGCGAGGUAAGGGGAGAGAGUGCUUGGGAUGGAAAGAGGUGAGCUAUUUCUGCUCGGAGGUCGGGGAAGCCCUCUGAAGAGAAGACAUUGAACAGAGGCCUAAAGGAAGGAAGGAACUGGAACAGGCAGAUUUGGGGGGAGGAACAGCAGGAGGCCACGGAGGUUUGGGGCCAAGGAGUGACAAGACCUGGCUUCGGUUUACAAAGAUCAUUCUGGCUGCUGCCUAGAGAAUGGAAGGCUGGCAGGGAGAGCCUACCGGGAGGCCACUGCAGCAGGCCAGGGAGAGAGAGGUGAGAACGGGGGACUAGCUUUGGAGACAGCGAGAAGCAAUGGAUUUGAAAGCUGCUGAUGUGUUUUGAAAAUGGAACUGACGGGAUUUGACACCAGAAUGGAGGUGGGUGUGAGGAAUGAGGAGGCAAGGGGGAUUCCGAGAUUUGCCAACUGAGCAUCUAAGUCGAUGGAGCUGGUGAGGGGAAGUUACGAAUUCUGUUUGGGACAUGUGAAGUUUGAGGUGACCAUUAGGCACCCUGGUGGAGAUGUUGCUGUGCACUUGCAGACGUGAGGCCGUGACUCUGGACUCGGGGUGGGGGUCGGGAGCUGGAGACACGCAUUUCCUUGGCUUGGAGAUGGAACUGACAGCUGUGGGAGAGAUGCGACCCCUGGAGAAACUUAAAAUGGAGGGCAAGGGGAGUGAGCACCGAGCCCUGGGCCUCACCAUGGAGAGGUCUGGAAGAGGAGGCUGAACCAGCCGGGAGACUCCGAAAGAGGGGCCAGCGAGGGAACAGAGAAAUGGAGCCAGAGAGCUAACUGGUGGGAUCUGCAAGGAGACUCCGGAUGGCUCCUGCAGAGCAGAGAGACAUGGCCCGCAGUGCGAGUCAGGAGGCCGGCCUGUCUUCCCUGAGAUUGGAAGGAAAGAGGGAAAAAAGGGGCUCCUUGCACCCCUACCUGUGAGGCAGUGAGGGUGAUCUUUGCAUCCAGGAAAAAGACGUACCAGUUAGGAUGCCUCAAGCCAAUAUAAGUGAUGCUUGCUACUCCAAGUGUGCUCUGAACCAGCAGCAGCAGCAACUGGGAUCUUGCUAAAAAUACAGAAUCUCAGGGGCUGGCCCCGUGGCCAAGUGGUUGAGUUCGCGUGCUCCGCUGCAGGCGGCCCAGUGUUUCGUUGGUUUGAAUCCUGGGCGCGGACAUGGCACUGCUCAUCAGACCACGCUGAGGCGGCGUCCCACAUGCCACAACUAGAAGAACCCACAACGAAGAAUACACAACUAUGUACCGGGGGGCUUUGGGGAGAAAAAGGAAAAAAUAAAAUCUUUUAAAAAAAAAAAAAAUACAGAAUCUCAGACCUGCUGACUCAGUCUUAGUUUAACAAAAUUCCCAGGUGAUUCUAAUGUGCUAACUUAAUCACUAAUCUUGAGAACCACUAACUUAAACCGUAAAGAUAUUUGUUCUGGGAGUUAGAUUCCAGGGUAGUUCCAG
ensembl:lncRNA